rnacentral:rRNA from 1 species
UACGAAGGGAGCUAGCGUUGUUCGGAAUCACUGGGCGUAAAGCGCACGUAGGCGGAUGUGUCAGUCAGGGGUGAAAUCCCGGAGCUCAACUUCGGAACUGUCCUUUGAUACAGCACGUCUUGAGUCCGAUAGAGGUGGGUGGAAUUCCUAGUGUAGAGGUGAAAUUCGUAGAUAUUAGGAAGAACACCGGUGGCGAAGGCGGCCCACUGGAUCGGUACUGACGCUGAGGUGCGAAAGCGUGGGGAGCAAACAGG